rnacentral:rRNA from 1 species
UGGGGAAUUUUGGACAAUGGGCGCAAGCCUUAUCCAGCAAUGCCGCGUGCAGGAUGAAGGCCUUCGGGUUGUAAACUGCUUUUGUACGGAGCGAAAAGGUCUGCCCUAAUACUGUUGGCUCAUGACGGUACCGCAAGAAUAAGCACCGGCUAACUACGUGCCAGCAGCCUCGGUAAUACGUAGGGUGCGAGCGUUAAUCGCAAUUACUGGGCGUAAAGCGUGCGCAGGCGGUUAUAUAAGACAGAUGUGAAAUCCCCUGGCUCAACCUGGGACCUGCAUUUGUGACGGUAGAGCUGGAGUACGGUAGAGGGAGAUGGAAUUCCGCGGGUAGCAGUGAAGUGCGUAGAAAUGCGGAGGAACACCGAUGGCGAAGGCAAUCCCCUGGACCUGUACUGAGGCUCAUGCACGAAAGCGUGGGGAGAAAACA